rnacentral:rRNA from 1 species
CCUACGAGCGGCAGCAGUGGGGAAUAUUGCACAAUGGGCGAAAGCCUGAUGCAGCAACGCCGCGUGAAGGAAGACGGUUUUCGGAUUGUAAACUUCUAUCCAUAGGGAAGAAAGAAAUGACGGUACCUAAAUAAGAAGCCCCGGCUAACUACGUGCCAGCAUCCGCGGUAAUACGUAGGGGGCAAGCGUUAUCCGGAAUUACUGGGUGUAAAGGGAGAGUAGGCGGCAAGGUAAGCGAUAUGUGAAAGCCUUAAGCUUAACUUAAGGAUUGCAUAACGAACUAUCUAGCUAGAGUACAGGAGAGGAAAGCGGAAGUCCUAGUGUAGCGGUGAAAUGCGUAGAUAUUAGGAAGAACACCAGUGGCGAAGGCGGCUUUCUGGACUGAAACUGACGCUGAGGCUCGAAAGCAUGGGGAGCGAACAGGAUUAGAUACCCUUGUAGUC